AAAAAAACAAAAAAAUCAAGUAGUAACAGAAGACUUGAAACUUAAAGAACUUGGCGGUGUUUUAAUCUAAUUAGAGGAAUUUGUUUUUAAACCGACACUACACGAAACAUCUCUCUUAGGAAAAAGCUUGUAUAUCGUCGUAGUAAUGAUAUUAAAAAAUAAUCAUUAACAAUGAUUUUAUCUUUAAUGUCAGAUCAAGGUUCAGCUAUACCUAAGCUAAAAUGAAUUACAAUGUAAUAAUACACACGAACUUAAUCAUGAAAACAUUAAUAAAGGUGGAUUUAAAAGUAUUAAAGAACUAAAAUAUCCUUUUGACUAAGCACUAAAACAUGC
rnacentral:rRNA from 1 species